AGUGAACGCUGGCGGUAGGCCUAACACAUGCAAGUCGAACGGCAGCACAGUAAGAGCUUGCUCUUACGGGUGGCGAGUGGCGGACGGGUGAGGAAUACAUCGGAAUCUACUUUUUCGUGGGGGAUAACGUAGGGAAACUUACGCUAAUACCGCAUACGACCUACGGGUGAAAGCAGGGGAUCUUCGGACCUUGUGCGAUUGAAUGAGCCGAUGUCGGAUUAGCUAGUUGGCGGGGUAAAGGCCCACCAAGGCGACGAUCCGUAGCUGGUCUGAGAGGAUGAUCAGCCACACUGGAACUGAGACACGGUCCAGACUCCUACGGGAGGCAGCAGUGGGGAAUAUUGGACAAUGGGCGCAAGCAUGAUCCAGCCAUACCGCGUGGGUGAAGAAGGACUUCGGGUUGUAAAGCCCUUUUGUUGGGAAAGAAAAGCAGCAGGUUAAUACCCCGCUGUUCUGACGGUACCCAAAGAAUAAGCACCGGCUAACUUCGUG
rnacentral:rRNA from 1 species